AUUGAACGCUGGCGGAAUGCUUUACACAUGCAAGUCGAACGGCAGCACGGACUUCGGUCUGGUGGCGAGUGGCGAACGGGUGGGUAAUACAUCGGAACGUGCCCAAUCGUGGGGGAUAACGUAGCGAAAGCUACGCUAAUACCGCAUACGAUCUAAGGAUGAAAGCGGGGGAUCGCAAGACCUCGCGCGAUUGGAGCGGCCGAUGGCAGAUUAGGUAGUUGGUAGGGUAAAGGCCUACCAAGCCGACGAUCUGUAGCUGGUCUGAGAGGAUGAUCAGCCACACUGGGACUGAGAAACGGCCCAGACUCCUACGGGAGGCAGCAGUGGGGAAUUUUGGACAAUGGACGCAAGUCUGAUCCAGCCAUUCCGCGUGCAGGAUGAAGGCCCUCGGGUUGUAAACUGCUUUUGUACAGAACGAAAAGGCCCUGGUUAAUACCUAGGGCUCAUGACGGUACUGUAAGAAUAAGCACCGGCUAACUACGUGCCAGCAGCCGCCGUAA
rnacentral:rRNA from 1 species